rnacentral:lncRNA from 1 species
CUAUUUUCAAUCGCACAAUCUUCCAUAAAAUCAUAUUGCACGUAAAUCGAUUUUUUUUUUCUUUUUCAAUUAUUUAUUUUUAAAAAAAAUAUUAUUUCCCCCAUUUUUAGAAAAGUCCAAACAUAGGCGUAAAUGAGAAAAUGAAUAAGAGUGUUAAAUUUGAAUUGUAGCCUUAACUUUAUGCAUUUUAAUGACUUCUUGCUAGAUAAAACCAGCCCAAUAAGGAGUUCUGGUCAACUGCACUUCAAACUCAUAGUUACUUGGACUGCCUAUCUUAAUGCCUUACUAUAAUGUUUCUGACAAGGCAUAAAAUGUGAUAUGAAUUUCUGCGUAAUCCUUUAUUAUCGAAGAAGCCACUUGAUUUUAAGUAUACAUUUAUUCAUGGC